rnacentral:rRNA from 1 species
GACGAAAUUAGAGUGCUCAAAGCAGACGCGCGUGCGUCUGAAUACAUUAGCAUGGAAUAACGAUACACGACAGCGAUUCAAUGAACAGUGGCGCUUCGUGCCGUUGGUAGUGCGUGGAUCGCCGUAAUGAUAAAUAGGGGCAGUUGGGGGUAUUAGUAUUUGAUAGUCAGAGGUGAAAUUCUUGGAUUUUAUCAAAGACUGACUAGUGCGAAAGCAUUUACUAAGGAUGUUCCCGUUGAUCAAGAACGAAAGUUAGGGGAUCGAAGACGAUUAGAUACCGUCGUAGUCUUAACCGUAAACGAUGCCGACUUGAGAUCAGUGGAUGUCGCACUUGUAUCGACUCCAUUGGCAUCAUGCGAGAAAUCAAAAGUUUUUUGGGUCUGGGGCUG